rnacentral:rRNA from 1 species
AAUUUUGGACAAUGGGGGAAACCCUGAUCCAGCAAUGCCUCGAGCAGGAUGAAGUCCUUCGGGUUUUAAACUGCUUUUGUACGGAACGAAAUGUCUUGGGCUAAUAUCCUGGGAUCUUGACGGUACCGUAAGAAUAAGCACCGGCUUACUACGUUCCAGCAGCCGCGGUAAUACGUAGGGUGCAAGCGUUAAUCGGAAUUACUGGGCGUAAAGCGUGCGCAGGCGGUUUUGUAAGACAGUGGUGAAAUCCCCGGGCUCAACCUGGGAACUGCCAUUGUGACUGCAAGGCUGGAGUGCGGCAGAGGGGGAUGGAAUUCCGCGUGUAGCAGUGAAGUGCGUAGAUAUGCGGAGGAACACCGAUGGCGAGGGCAAUCCCCUGGGCCUGCACUGACGCUCAUGCACGAAAGCGUGGGGAGCAAACAGG